rnacentral:rRNA from 1 species
UGCGCAGGUGGGGAUGUAAGUCAGUGGUGAAAUGUUGCCGCUCAACGGUAAAAUUGCCAUUGAUACUGCAUCUCUUGAGUAUGGUUGAGGUAGGCGGAAUGUGUUGUGUAGCGGUGAAAUGCAUAGAUAUGACACAGAACACCGAUUGCGAAGGCAGCUUACUAAGCCAUUACUGACGCUGAGGCACGAAAGCGUGGGGAGCGAACAGGAUUAGAUACCCUGGUAGUC